AAGCCGCUGAGUUUUGGAGUGGAUGUCAUUCCUGUUAGAUAAAUAGAGCACUCUCCUACUUGUACUACUCUGACUUACAUUCCGACUUCCUACAUCUUCAUCUGUUAACCUGUAAUAAGGAAAGAGGAUACAUCUUGGUGCUGGUCCUGAACUAUCAAACCAUGUAAAGCUCUCCACUAAAUAAUCCAGGGGAACCCCAGCCCUGGUCUUCCCAGAAUCAGAUGUGAGGACAAGGCAAGAACACAGUGUGUUGGCCAGGAGAGCCAGGAUUAAGCAGAUCCAGGCUUGAGGACCAGGACAAGGACCCUCCGUGGGGCAGCUGAGAUUUCUCUACUCAUCACUUCAACUACAACUGUUCCUUGUAGAAAAAAAGCCCAGGACUGAAGCUGAUUCCUCUGUGCUCAGAAGUCUGAUAGUUACAGACCAAGGAAAACCAAAGUGGGAAAAUAAAUAAAUGAAAAAUAGUGUCACCUGAAUACAGGAGCAGACCUAUCAUGGCCAUGAGAUGGAAGCUAAAUGUAAU
rnacentral:lncRNA from 1 species